GAGCUAGCUUCAACAGCAUACAUACUAAAAUUGAAACAAUACAGAGAAGAAUAGCAUGGCCCCUGCGCAAGGAUGACACGCAAAUUUGUGAAGUGCUCCAUAUUUUU
rnacentral:snRNA from 1 species